UGGUUUCAUCUGGUAGGGCAGCGGUCGGCAACCUUUUGGCAGGCAAGGGCCACAAGGUGGCAAAAUAAACUAAAGACGGGCCGCAGGCCUCACACGUAUUAACCCUAGAGAUACCUACGC